GUGGUAAUACCGGAUGCUCCGCUCCAUCGCAUGGUGGGGUGGGAAAUGCUUUUGCGGCAUGGGAUGGGGUCGCGUCCUAUCAGCUUGUUGGCGGGGUGAUGGCCCACCAAGGCGUUGACGGGUAGCCGGCCUGAGAGGGUGACCGGCCACAUUGGGACUGAGAUACGGCCCAGACUCCUACGGGAGGCAGCAGUGGGGAAUAUUGCACAAUGGGCGCAAGCCUGAUGCAGCGACGCCGCGUGCGGGAUGGAGGCCUUCGGGUUGUAAACCGCUUUUGUUCAAGGGCAAGGCACGGUUUCGGCCGUGUUGAGUGGAUUGUUCGAAUAAGCACCGGCUAACUACGUGCCAGCAGCCGCGGUAAUACGUAGGGUGCGAGCGUUAUCCGGAUUUAUUGGGCGUAAAGGGCUCGUAGGCGGUUCGUCGCGUCCGGUGUGAAAGUCCAUCGCCUAACGGUGGAUCUGCGCCGGGUACGGGCGGGCUGGAGUGCGGUAGGGGAGACUGGAAUUCCCGGUGUAACGGUGGAAUGUGUAGAUAUCGGGAAGAAACACCA
rnacentral:rRNA from 1 species